rnacentral:rRNA from 1 species
UGGGGAAUAUUGCACAAUGGGCGCAAGCCUGAUGCAGCCAUGCCGCGUGUGUGAAGAAGGCCUUCGGGUUGUAAAGCACUUUCAGCGGGGAGGAAGGCGUUAAGGUUAAUAACCUUGGCGAUUGACGUUACCCGCAGAAGAAGCACCGGCUAACUCCGUGCCAGCAGCCGCGGUAAUACGGAGGGUGCAAGCGUUAAUCGGAAUUACUGGGCGUAAAGCGCACGCAGGCGGUUUGUUAAGUCAGAUGUGAAAUCCUCGGGCUUAACCCGGGAAUUGCAUCUGAUACUGGUCAGCUAGAGUCUUGUAGAGGGGGGUAGAAUUCCAUGUGUAGCGGUGAAAUGCGUAGAGAUGUGGAGGAAUACCGGUGGCGAAGGCGGCCCCCUGGACAAAGACUGACGCUCAGGUGCGAAAGCGUGGGGAGCAAACAGG